AGUGAAUAGAUACCCCGGUAGUCCUAGCCGUAAACGAUACUCGCUAGGUGUCGGCCACGGUGCGACCGUUGUCGGUGCCGUAGGGAAAGCCGUGAAGCGAGCCACCUGGGAAGUACGGCCGCAAGGCUGAAACUUAAAGGAAUUGGCGGGGGAGCACCACAACGGGUGGAGCUUGCGGUUUAAUUGGAUUCAACGCCGGAAAUCUUACCGGGACCGACAGCAAUAUGAAGGCCAGGCUGAAGACUUUGCCGGAUUAGCUGAGAGGUGGUGCAUGGCCGUCGUCAGUUCGUACUGUGAAAGCAUCCUGUUAAGUCAGGCAACGAGCGAGACCCACGCCCACAGUUGCCAGCGUACUCUCCGGAGUGACGGGUACACUGUGGGGACCGCCGCUGCUAAAGCAGAGGAAGGAAUGGGCAACGGUAGGUCAGUAUGCCCCGAAUAUCCCGGGCUACACGCGAGCUACAAUGGUUGGUACAAUGGGUAUCUACCCCGAAAGGGGAUGGAAAUCUCCUAAAGCCAAUCUUAGUUCGGAUUGAGGGCUGCAACUCGCCCUC
rnacentral:rRNA from 1 species